rnacentral:lncRNA from 1 species
AAACUCGAGUUUAUCACAAGCAAAAGUGCGAACAAUGAUCUUAGACGCCUCGUAAUGGACGUGAUGAAGUCAACCUCACCAGUUUUUCUUUCAAAAACCCAUCAAGGAAACAGAGUAACCAAGCCAAAAAUCAUCCAAGAAUAUGGAAAUACAGGGUUAACAGAGAACGUACCUCGGGUCUCUCCUUGGUCUGGGUUCCUCUUUCCUCGUCCGCCACCUCCAGAGUGCGUUUUUCCUCC